GCUGGGUGUAGUGGUGUGCACCUAUAGUCCCAGCUACCUGGGAGGCUGGAAUAGGAGGAUUCCUUGAGCCCAGGAGGUCAAGGCUGCAGUGAGCCAUGAUCAUGCCACUGCACUCCAGCCUGAGCAACAGAGCAAGACCCAUCUCUUU
rnacentral:SRP_RNA from 1 species